GCUGUGAUGGCCGAGUCGUUAAGGCGACAGAUUUGAAUUCGUUCAAAUUUAUCUGUUGGGCUUUGCCCGCGUAGGUUCAAAUCCUGCUCACAGCG
rfam:Jaapia argillacea MTCL 33604 unplaced genomic scaffold JAAARscaffold_2, whole genome shotgun sequence.